rnacentral:rRNA from 1 species
CCUACGGGUGGCAGCAGUGAGGAAUAUUGGUCAAUGGGCGCUAGCCUGAACCAGCCACGUAGCGUGAAGGAUGACUGCCCUAUGGGUGGUAAAUUUCUUUUAUAUGGGAAUAAAGUGCAGUAUGUAUACUGCUUUGCAUGUCCCUUAUGAAUAUGGCUCGACUAACUCCGUGCCAGAAGCCGCGGUAAUACGGAGGAUCCGAGCGUUGUCCGGAUUUAUUGGUUUUAAAGGGAGCGUAGGCGGGUUGGUAAGUCAGUUGUGAAAGUUUGCGGCUCAACCGUAAGAUUGCAGUUGAUACUAGCAUCCUUGAGUACAGUAGAGGUAGGCGGAAUUCGUGGUGUAGCGGUGAAAUGCUUAGAUAUCACGAAGAACUCCGAGUGCGAAGGCAGCCUGCUGGACUGUAACUGACGCUGAUGCUCGAAAGUGUGGGUAGCAAACAGGAUUAGAUACCCCUGUAGUC